GACGAACGCUGGCGGCGUGCCUAAUACAUGCAAGUCGAGCGAGCUUGCCUAGAUGAAUUUGGUGCUUGCACCAAAUGAAACUAGAUACAAGCGAGCGGCGGACGGGUGAGUAACACGUGGGUAACCUGCCCAAGAGACUGGGAUAACACCUGGAAACAGAUGCUAAUACCGGAUAACAACACUAGACGCAUGUCUAGAGUUUAAAAGAUGGUUCUGCUAUCACUCUUGGAUGGACCUGCGGUGCAUUAGCUAGUUGGUAAGGUAACGGCUUACCAAGGCAAUGAUGCAUAGCCGAGUUGAGAGACUGAUCGGCCACAUUGGGACUGAGACACGGCCCAAACUCCUACGGGAGGCAGCAGUAGGGAAUCUUCCACAAUGGACGCAAGUCUGAUGGAGCAACGCCGCGUGAGUGAAGAAGGGUUUCGGCUCGUAAAGCUCUGUUGGUAGUGAAGAAAGAUAGAGGUAGUAACUGGCCUUUAUUUGACGGUAAUUACUUAGAAAGUCACGGCUAACUACGUGCCAGCAGCCGCGGUAAUACGUAGGUGGCAAGCGUUGUCCGGAUUUAUUGGGCGUAAAGCGAGUGCAGGCGGUUCAAUAAGUCUGAUGUGAAAGCCUUCGGCUCAACCGGAGAAUUGCAUCAGAAACUGUUGAACUUGAGUGCAGAAGAGGAGAGUGGAACUCCAUGUGUAGCGGUGGAAUGCGUAGAUAUAUGGAAGAACACCAGUGGCGAAGGCGGCUCUCUGGUCUGCAACUGACGCUGAGGCUCGAAAGCAUGGUAGCGAACAGG
rnacentral:rRNA from 1 species